GAUGAAGAACGUAGUGAAAUGCGAUACGUAAUGUGAAUUGCAGAAUUCAGUGAAUCAUCGAGUCUUUGAACGCACAUUGCGCCCCCUGGUAUUCCGGGGGGCAUGCCUGUCCGAGCGUCAUUACAACCCUCAAGCUCAGCUUGGUGUUGGGCCCCGCCGCCCCGGCGGGCCCUAAAGUCAGUGGCGGUGCCGUCCGGCUCCGAGCGUAGUAAUUCUUCUCGCUCUGGAGGUCCGGUCGUGUGCUUGCCAGCAACCCCCAAUUUUUUUCAGGUUGACCUCGGAUCAGGUAGGGAUACCCGCUGAACUUAAGCAUAUCAAUAAGCGGAGGA
rnacentral:misc_RNA from 1 species